GCAAAAAAAAACACACACAUAUAUAUAUAUAUACUUCGUAACAUUGUAAUUUUCAUUGAAAACAUAAUAAACACAAUAAUAAUUUAUAGUAGGUGGGAAAAAAUCCAAUCCGAAAAACCUCAUGCCCCCCUUCCCCCCCUCCCGCAUUUAAUGUACACAUUAAUAAUGUUCGUUGAUAUCAGAAUCCGCCGUCGUAAAAUUAUACGUACACAUAUAUUAUAAAAUAUACACGCCCGUGUAACAGCAGGUUUAUUAUUACGCACACGUUAUGUUCGACUAUUUAUGGAAAAAAUAAAUAUAAUAACGAUAAAAAAAUAAAAAAAAAAAUAGGAUUAAACAUCGCGUACAUAUUAGAGACCCGCGAGAACGUAUACACAUUAGAAAAAAAAAAUAAAUAAAAAUACGAUCGUGUUGACCGAAGGAAAGCGUCCCCCCACCCCCCGAAACCCGCGUUCGGACGGGGACGUCAGUGCCAUAAAAACAAACAAAACAAAUAUCUAAUAUGUUAACGCCCUCAAAAACAAAAAAAACCAAAAAAACGCACCGCAUCACACACGCGCAAUUCGACGGGAAAAACGGCAAACCGCGGCCCGCUCGCGUUCGCAAUAUCGUACAAGAUGAAAAGAAAACUCUCGCUUCGUACCAAAGUCCGCCGUUUUUUCCCGUCCACGCAAAUGUCAUAAC